AUUUAAAUUGAAACCAGCUUUCAGAGCCAUUACAAGUGUUCCUAAUGUAAUGGCUCUGAAAGCUGGUUUCAAUUUAAAU